rnacentral:rRNA from 1 species
CUUGAUUAAACCAUAAGAGGUCCAGCCUGCCCAGUGACAUUGUUCAACGGCCGCGGUAUCCUAACCGUGCGAAGGUAGCGUAAUCACUUGUCCUUUAAAUGAAGACUAGUAUGAAUGGCCCCACGAAAGCUAUACUGUCUCCUUUUUCUAAUCAGUUAAACUAAUCUCCCCGUGAAGAAGCGGGGAUAAACAUAUAAGACGAGAAGACCCUAUGGAGCUUCAAACAACUGAAACACUUGUAUAUCCUCCCUCACCUGCCAACAUUUAACCUCACAUUUUGUUUCUAGUUUUAGGUUGGGGUGACCACGGAGAAAAAACUAACCUCCACGACGAAAGAGACAUCUCUAAACAAAAAGCUACAUCUUUAUGUAUUAACACAUUAACCUUUAUUGACCCAAUAAAUUGAUCAACGAAC